GAGGAUUAAUCCCUUCCCCCUGCAUGCUGCGUUUCCCUGCAACUCCUCUGGCAUCUAAAUAACACGCAGCUUGGCUUUGUCUCUUCCUCCCAGAUCCAUUUGUUGGCCUCAGUAAUCUCCGUUGUUCUCCGCCGUGCUGUCUGCAGUUCGGCUCUGUCUGGAGUGAAAUGUGGGACCCAGGAGGAAACAGAAAUGGGUCUUCUCAGCAACACUCAAGCAACAGAUGACUCUGCCGAGACUCCACCUGGAAGGCUGCGCUCAGCUCGGAGCUCCUAAUUACCAGCCAGGAUUUAAACAGGAAACUCUCCCAUCACCUGCUCCAGGUGAUGAAGCCUACCUCAGAUCCUCAGUGGGAAAAUUAACAGAGCAGAAGGGUGGUGCAGGGUGGCUUCAGGAAGUCUCCUAGGCUCUGUCUGGGGUGGGAGUCAAGCCCAGCAGAAGAGCCUUCCUACACAUAGAUCUUCUAUGUCUCUGCACGGAUACGAGGCCCUCCUAUGUUCCCAAGCAGAGAAUGUGUAGGAUGCUCAGAGUUUUCUGUGAAGUCUACACUCACACGUGAUGGAGGCGAAACAACAGACUCUGGAACAAGGAACAUGCAUGCCAUUCAUGUCCCUUCUUUUCUUCAGGGAGCAGAUGCUGAGGUAACGUCGGAACUUCAAAUGGUUACUAGAGAUCCAAACCUAUAAACACAAGACAACUUGACAGAGACAGAUGCUGUCUUCACACUGUCCAAUCUGCUCAGGGGAGCUGUGGGGUGAGUACUCCCUGCCUGGCUCAGUCAGCAGAUGUGGGCUGCUUUGAGAGACUGGAACCUCCUGAGAGCCUACAUCUCUCCUCAGCCAGGCUGACUCUGAAGUUGCCCACAGUGGGUCUGUCAGCUGACCACCUCCCACAGCUGGGAGGCAAAGCCUUUCUUUAUCAGAGUGGCAAAUCUUUUUGUGGACUGCAGGAUCUAACGUGCGAAGCCUUGGAACCCUGUUGUCCAAGACCUUGGGGCUUGCACAGCCUUUUGCAGGUACAGUCUUUUCCAGAUUCACCCCGAAUCCAGAACCUGCUCACUUGUUCCAGAGCAUGCUACAACUAGAACCUUCCAGGAUUACCCAUGUCAGUGCCCAUAAGAUUGCGUUUGGAGGGCUGGGGUAAUGACUCAGUAGUUAAGAUUCCUGACUGCUCUUCUGGAGGACUGAUGCAUUCCCAGCACCCACCUGUAACUUCAAUUUCAGGGGAUCUGAUGCCCUCUGCUGGCUUCUGUGGGUACUGCAGGAAUGUGGCAAGUGGACACACAUUCAUGCAAAACACCCCCAAACACAUAAAAUAUUUACUUUUAAAACAAUGUAUUUCUGGAACUGUUAAGGAAAGUCCCAAUGAUUUCAUUUCUUCCACACUAUGAAUCUUCUCUGACCAUUUUCAAAUUCCCCUCUGCACACACAAGUGGAGGGACUAGGGAGUACCCACUCUACCUUUCACACCUCCCACAAGGGACUUUCUCAAGGAAUCUGCCUGAAAGGAAGUUCUAUUAUUGCCACUUAUUCAGCCAUGUAAUAUACGCAGACUUAACACUCAGUGAGGUCAUGAAGUAUGUACCCAUUUUGCAUGGUACAAGGGUCAGUGUUGGGUUCUAUGGUAUGAAGAACACAUAUAAUUAUUCUCUUCUAACUACCCAGAUUUGUAAACCUAUUCACACACACAAAAAUGCAUGGAUAAUUAUUUAUUAUUAUUAAAAGAAUCUUGUGAUGGUGACCCCC
rnacentral:lncRNA from 1 species